rnacentral:rRNA from 1 species
CAGCAGCCACGGGAAUACGUAGGGUGCGAGCGUUAAUCGGAAUUACUGGGCGUAAAGCGUGAGUAGGUGGUGGUUUAAGUCCGUUGUGAAAGCCCUGGGCUCAACCUGGGAAUUGCAGUGGAUACUGGGUCACUAGAGUGUGGUAGAGGAUAGUGGAAUUUCCGGUGUAGCAGUGAAAUGCGUAGAGAUCGGAAGGAACAUCUGUGGCGAAGGCGACUAUCUGGGCCAACACUGACACUGAGGCACGAAAGCGUGGGGAGCAAACAGGAUUAGAUACCCCUGUAGUCCCUGUCUCUUAUAC